UACGUAGGGCGCAAGCGUUGUCCGGAAUUAUUGGGCGUAAAGAGCUCGUAGGCGGUCUGUCACGUCUGCCGUGAAAACCCGAGGCUUAACCUCGUGGCUUGCGGUGGAUACGGGCAGACUAGAGGUAGGUAGGGGGAGAACGGAAUUCCUGGUGUAGCGGUCGAAAUGCGCAGAUAUCAGGAGGAACACCGGUGGCGAAGGCGGGUCUCUGGGCCGUAACUGACGCUGAGGAGCGAAAGCGUGGGGAGCGAACAGG
rnacentral:rRNA from 1 species